UUCAAAAAAACUUUGAAGUUUAACAUUCUUCGUUAAAUUUGCCUGUUCAAAAUAAAGAACGUCGGAAAAUUGAGUAUAACAUUCAUUAUAUUAUGAAGCCUACGGGUAAUCUUGUACAAGAUGAAAUGUUUCCUGAAGGAGUGGAUUCUAGUUUAAUGGAUAUGGAUGAGGCUUCUUCUUCCAAUAUGAAAGCAGAUAUAGCUGCAAGUGAAAGGGCUGUUCAUGGGGAUUUCUUCAAUGCAUUUGAUGACCUUUUUGACGAUGAUGAUUUGUCAUAAAGAUAAAAUAAAUAUAACAUAGAAAUUUUGAUGAAUAUGAAAAAACAAAAUGUAAACAACAGCAAUAAAUUUGAUGUAUUCUAACAAA